rnacentral:rRNA from 1 species
AUUGAACGCUGGCGGCAUGCCUUACACAUGCAAGUCGAACGGCAGCACGGGGCAACCUGGUGGCGAGUGGCGAACGGGUGAGUAAUGCAUCGGAACGUACCUUUCAGUGGGGGAUAACGUAGCGAAAGUUACGCUAAUACCGCAUAUUCUGUGAGCAGGAAAGCAGGGGAUCGCAAGACCUUGCGCUGAUUGAGCGGCCGAUGUCAGAUUAGCUAGUUGGUGGGGUAAAGGCUCACCAAGGCGACGAUCUGUAGCGGGUCUGAGAGGAUGAUCCGCCACACUGGAACGGAGACACGGGCCAGACUCCUACGGGAGGCAGCAGUGGGGAAUUUUGGACAAUGGGGGCAACCCGGAUCCAGCCAUGCCGCGUGAGUGAAGAAGGCCUUCGGGUUGUAAAGCUCUUUCGGCCGGGAAGAAAUCGCACGGGCUAAUACCCUGUGUGGAUGACGGUACCGGAAUAAGAAGCACCGGCUAACUACGUGCCAGCCGCCGCAGUAAUAC